rnacentral:rRNA from 1 species
GACGAACGCUGGCGGCGUGCUUAACACAUGCAAGUCGAACGGAAAGGCCCUGCUUUUGUGGGGUGCUCGAGUGGCGAACGGGUGAGUAACACGUGAGUAACCUGCCCUUGACUUUGGGAUAACUUCAGGAAACUGGGGCUAAUACCGGAUAGGAGCUCCUGCUGCAUGGUGGGGGUUGGAAAGUUUCGGCGGUUGGGGAUGGACUCGCGGCUUAUCAGCUUGUUGGUGGGGUAGUGGCUUACCAAGGCUUUGACGGGUAGCCGGCCUGAGAGGGUGACCGGCCACAUUGGGACUGAGAUACGGCCCAGACUCCUACGGGAGGCAGCAGUGGGGAAUAUUGCACAACGGGCGGAAGCCUGAUGCAGCAACGCCGCGUGCGGGAUGACGGCCCUCGGGUUGUAAACCGCUUUCGCCUGUGACGAAGCGUGAGUGACGGUAAUGGGUAAAGAAGCACCGGCUAACUACGUG